rnacentral:lncRNA from 1 species
UUGUAAUCAACAUAUAAAUAUACUAGUGUGAACCGGAGAGGGUACAUUGAAGGUAAGCAAUGCAUCAUGGCGUCCACCCAAGAGGGAACCUCCAACAGCACAGGCUGUAGGGCCAGAACCAGCCUGUUCUCCAUUUUUGUGUGUAGUUCCAUGCUUCAAAUGUAUCUUAAUUUUAUUUGCUUUUCUCAAACCUGAAAUAAAUUUUAGUUUUUAGCUAUAGCAAAAACAAAAAAAAUAAAAACAAAACAAAAUAAAAACAAACAAAAAAAACAAACAAUGCAGCAGCAGCCGCCACAGCAAGGUCAUUGCUCCCACACAUGGGUCUCCUUCCCGCCCUCUCCCUGUCCUUAGCGAGGUCCCAGUGCUGAACGCACCCUGACCUUUGGUGGUAGAGAUCUUUGCUCCUAGUGGGAUCCUACAACUCUCAGAACAACAGGGUCCCCCUGGACUGUGAGCACAGUAGAACCAGCUCUUUCUUGGGAUUUUAAGAAAACAGACAAGCUUCGCGCACAGCUGGGUUGCAGCAGUUUUUUUCUUUUCCUUCUUUUUUUUGCUUUCAGCCGUGGCAGCCUGCUCUUGAUUUCUCUGGAAAGGCAGCUCCUAAUUAGAAUGGAUCGAAGAGUCUUUGCUUCAGCUUUGUUCUCGGUCUCGACUGAAUCGUUGCUUUAGGGCUUAAUCUGGUGCAGCCGCUGGUUGGUUGAUACCCUUGGUUCUCUGAGCUCCUCUCUGGCUCGGGCAGGCUGGCACCCAGGGGGCACCAGAGCUCUGCAGUGUCACUCUGCUCCCUCUCACUCCAGCCCUCUCUUCCUUCUCUCUUUUUCUCUCCACCUGCCUUCUCUCUCUCUAAUUUCUUUUCAUUAACGACCCAGAGCUGUCCAGGGUGCCAGUCCCCACUCCUAGGAGUGUAAACUGGUACAAUUUAUCUGGAGGGCAAUUUGUCAAAUGCUAUUAAAAGCUUUUUUAAAAAAGUACGUAGACUUUGACUUGGAAUGUCCCUUUCUAGGAAUGUAUGUCCUGCAGAAAUAAUUGGACAGGGGUCCACAGAUAUGUGCAAGGGGACACUGUCCUUGGCUGUUUUCCUGAGUGACCACCUGGAAACCUGGUGUCCUUCAACUGGAAAUCAUUAUGCGUGGGUCACGUAAUAAACCAACUGCAAAAGAACCUUUGGGAGUAAAUCAGGGAAAUUUGACUGUGGACUGAACAGUAGAUGCUCCUAAAGAAUUACUAUUAAUUUUAUGUGGUGUGAUAAUGGCUUUGUGGUUGGUUUAGAGGCAGUGACUGGAGGGCUGGCAUUUGGUUUAAACGAUCGUAACCACCACCAUCAUGGCAGGGGAGCAGGACAGAGCAAGUGCGGCAGGAUCUUGGAAGUUCCGAAUCUGGCUGUCAGGGCAGAAGAGUGAAUGGGCAUCGUAUACAUAAACAUCAUACGAUCCACAGAGGGCUGGCCAGCCCGAGUUCUUAAUCCUGGCUCCAUCACUGACAAUUUGCAACCCGGAGAAGUCACUCUCUCUGUGUUUUCUGUCUCUAAAGUAAAUAAAGGAUAACACACUUUAAAAAUCAAUUGGUGUUCUGAACAAAAAGGAUGGGUGUGUGAAAUGAGGACAACUCUAAGGGGCUGAAAAUACAUUUCCCCAAGUUUUGCAAAUGCUGGAGAUGGUGCAAGCCUUGUCCUACCUUACCCCUCAUCCCCAUCAGCUCUUGGUCUCCUUACCUCCAGGCACCUUCUCUCCCACUCCACCCUCCAAUUCCUCCAGGCUGAUCUUUCCAAAGCAAAAAUCCAGGUGAGUCACUUCUGAUAAUGGCUCUCCACUCCCUUCUGGAGAAAGUCCAACUCCUCUGCUCUGGGUACAAAGAGCUCCAUGUUCUUGCUUCAUCCUUGUCUCUGACCUCACCUGCUGGGCACCCGUCUCUCCCCAAACCCUACAACGCACACGGUUCCCCAAGAGGGCCUCCAGCUUCAUGCCUCAGGGCCUUUGCAUAUGCUUCCCUUUGUCUGGAAUUCUCUUCCCUGGCUAACAUCAGGUAUUUCCCUGCAAGGUCCUGGAAACCCUUCCUAGGCAGCAGACCUGGAGCUCCUCCAGGCCACCUCCUCAGUCCUCCCUGAUCUCCAAUGCAGGGCAGGACCCUGGACAGAGAUGAAUGCUGGAAUGGGAAGCACAGGUGCAAAACCAAAGGCUUCCUUCUGCAUCUCCAGGAUGGGCACCAAUCGUCCAGUAGAUGUGGCUUAGUGUAAAUUUCAGUUCCCAUCCUGGGAUCAACUGAAUCUGUGCUUCUUGCCACUCCAGCUUGGGCCAGGAAGUUUUUAGUAUUCCAUUUUUAAAACCACAACAUUUUAGCACCAAAAUGAAUGCAUUUUAUUUAUAGACAUGGAAGCAGGUUGCCUCUUGCCCCCAUCUCUCCUUCCAGAAGAUGGUCUAUCCAAUGCAUGUUUCCCAGAUACGGAAAACUACAGGGCUCCUUUCACAGCAGAAACACCGUCCAGGGAAACCUGCCUGGCGGGCUUCUCCUACCCCAUCCACAUCUGAAUGGAUGCGGCAGGGAAGGGCCUGGGUGUCACAGAGGCAGUGCUUUGGAACUGGGCAACUGUUUCUGAACACCCACCCCAAACACGACCGGCCCCACAGUGUGUCCACCCUCCCAGUCACCUCGGCUUCCCCGCCCUCUCUGGCUGAAUCAGGUGAUGUCAAGAGGCAGCUCUAAAAGAUGCUGCGGAAUGGCCAGCCCAGAGCCAUGGAAGAGGACAAGAGGCCAGGUCCCAGGCCAAACCGCUCUUACAGAAGGCAAGAAUCGUGGAGGACAACAAACAGAACCUUCUUCGGAGAUCCUAAAGGAGACAGAGGGGCGGUUCCUCUAACCUCCCUCAGGAUUUGAAAGAUCAACGCUUUUUGGGUUCCACUGGAGUUUAGAAAUCAAGAGUCGGCUCCUUUUUCUCCUCUAUGGAUGGCAGGUGAUUCUAGGGCAGGGUAUGCAUCUCUGGUGUCCAUCCACACCUCCCACACUCAUCGGACUUUACGGAGGUCCAGCGUUGGGCACUAGGAAAAGAAAGUGGUCAAGCUCCACCUCUGAGGGGUCACUGAUGAGCCAAUGAUGCCUAGAGGGUGCCAGGUGCUAUGACCUUCAAAUCCUGCUUAAACAUCACCUUCCAAGGAAGGUCUUCCCGACUUCCCUGUUUAAUAUUGCAGCCCCCACCCUGGCACGUCCUCUGCACGCCUCUGCUCUAUUGCAACCUAACAGACUGCAAAAUUUACCUAUUCAAUCAAACACCUCGCUCACCCCCCUUGAACGUAAGCACCCUGAGGGGAGGCAUUUUUGUGUUACUCACUGACAAAAUCCCAAGAUAUAGAACAGGGAUUGGCACAUAGUAGGUGCUCAGCAACUGCUUGAUUCAAG